UUUUAUUUGAGAGUUUGAUCCUGGCUCAGGAUGAACGCUGGCGGCGUGCCUAACACAUGCAAGUUGAGCGAUUUACUUCGGUAAAGAGCGGCGGACGGGUGAGUAACGCGUGGGUAACCUACCCUGUACACACGGAUAACAUACCGAAAGGUAUGCUAAUACGGGAUAAUAUAUUUGAGAGGCAUCUCUUGAAUAUCAAAGGUGAGCCAGUACAGGAUGGACCCGCGUCUGAUUAGCUAGUUGGUAAGGUAACGGCUUACCAAGGCGACGAUCAGUAGCCGACCUGAGAGGGUGAUCGGCCCCAUUGGAACUGAGACACGGUCCAACCUCCUAC
rnacentral:rRNA from 1 species